ACGGCCGCUGAUAGAAAAGUAUAGGAGGGAGAUUAUCGAGAUACCACUCCUAGACCCCCUGAGAAUACUACAGCAGUAGCCUCGGCGGGACCGCCCCGGCGUCCUAGGGGCCGGACUAGGGCGUCCGGCGGAGGACCCUCACACCCUCCUAUCGCCUGAGCAUCUCUUAGUUAAGAGGCAACGAGACGAAUUAGGACUUUUAAUAACGGAUCUCUUAGUUUAGCUUUAAUAAAGAACGCAGCGAAAUACGAUAUGCCUGUAAUUGUAGAAUUUAGUAAACUAUCGAAUCUUUUAACGUAUAUUACUCCCGCUAACACUCUAGCGGCUAUGCCUGUCCGAGCGUUACCUUAACCCUUGAUCCCCCCGCCUCGCGGGGGAGGAGCCCGGCCUUAGGGGUGCGUGCCCACGCCGCCCCCUAAACUACUGAGAGACCCCGCCGUGGCUCUCCUACGCAAUAGCUUACUAAGAACCUCGCACUAGGAGCGCGGAGGCGCCCACGACGUAAAAGCUCUAUACCCUCUAGGUAACCUCGGAUUAGGUACUCAUACCCGCUACACUUAAUAAUAUCAUAAAGCGGACG
rnacentral:rRNA from 1 species